rnacentral:rRNA from 1 species
AACGUAGGGGGCCAGCGUUGCUCGGAAUUACUGGGCGUAAAGGGUCCGUAGGCGGUGUGGCAAGUCGGUAGUGAAAUCUCUAGGCUUAACCUAGAGGCUGCUGCCGAAACUGCCGUGCUAGAGUGUGAGAGAGGCGAGUGGAAUUACGGGUGUAGCGGUGAAAUGCGUAGAUAUCCGUAGGAACAUCCGAGGCGAAAGCGGCUCGCUGGAUCACAACUGACGCUGAGGGACGAAAGCUAGGGGAGCAAACAGG